rnacentral:rRNA from 1 species
UACGUAGGGUCCGAGCGUUGUCCGGAAUUAUUGGGCGUAAAGCGCGCGUAGGUGGCCACAUAAGUCCGUUGUGAAAGUCAAAGGCUCAACCUUUGAAAGCCGAUGGAUACUGUGUGGCUAGAGUACGGAAGAGGCGAGUGGAAUUCCUGGUGUAGCGGUGGAAUGCGCAGAUAUCAGGAGGAACACCAAUAGCGAAGGCAGCUCGCUGGGACGUUACUGACACUGAGGCGCGAAAGCGUGGGGAGCGAACAGG